CUCUAUCAAACCAAAAUGUUCACAGCAAAAUUUUUUUGUUGAGAGAGUGAGAGAGAUCUUCGGCAGAAAACUCUAGUUUGAAAGUUCUUCAGUAGAAAAUCCUUAAUCGACUAUGAGUGCAAAUCAAUGAAAAGUUCUUGAAGUCAAAUCAGUAACUGAAUCUCAAGAUUUAGACGAUGAAGAAGAGUUUAUUAAAAGAUAACCAACAACUGAAUCUGAAGAUUCGACUGUCAAAAACAAACGAAAAAGAUAAGUUUUAUUUCUUCUUUUUCAUUUAAAUCCAUCUGCGAUUAUUAUCUAGACGAUUUCAAAACCAAAUUUUACCUAUUUCAUGUAGAAAUUCUUACUCAAUGCUUGAUCAGAAUACAGAUCUAUAAUCUCUUGACCUUUAUAUGUCUAUUGAGAUUAAAAUCUCGAAAAUUUUGAACAAAAAAUUCUAGGGUUUUCUGAGCUAAAAAUCCAAAAAUCAAUCCAUCUUUAAACCUAAUUGAAAAUCAAUCUUUAGGUCCGUGAUUAGCAUGCCUGCAUCUUUAUUACCCAUAUUAUUGAUUUAAUUUUUAUGAAAUUCAAAUUUACUAUCUCAUUUUGAACUUAUAUCUGGAUGCUGAUGGUUUUGGUUUGUAUUAUCUUGUUGCAAUUGAGAUUGGUUGAUGUACAUAGUAUGAUGAUGCUUUGAAUGAAUGGGUUGCUUCAGAAAUAAGCUGCAAAGAUGAUGUUUCUGCCAAGCAAGUGAUAGCUUGAGCUGAGUUGUAUUGGAAGCUCAAAUGAUGUUGCAAUGCUGAGUUGUAGAUGUUCCAAAAGUUACCGACAGAGCUGAAAUGUGCUAUGGUGUUUGUGCAGUGUUGCAAUGGUUGUUGGUCUGAUAGAAGAGAAGAUGCAGUAAUGCUUAGCACUGAGAUAGUGGAACUUCAGAUUGGUCUUAAGAACUAUGACCCUCAAAAGGACAAGCGUUUAAGUGGUUCAGUGAAGAUUGGUCUCAUGUAUGCCUUAUGUGUAUUGUUUGAGGAUAAGGAAGUUGGGGAGGAUAAGGAGAAGACACUAGAGAAGUAUGAAAAGGUAGUUGAAGAGAAGAGAAAAGUUCUCCAAUGAAGGAUGGAGAGAGGAAAGUUGAGUUGGACCAGGCGUUAAUUUAUGCAGAUGCUUUCACUGAAUGAAAGGAAAUGAUGAAAUUUUCGUCAAGCUGGCCAAGGGUGUUGAGAAGGUUUCUUUGAAGAAUUCUUAAUUGCCCAAGGUAUCUGGUUGCAAGAGAAUUGAUGUCAUCAGUCAAGGUGCAGACCCUGUUGUUACAAGCGAUGGGUGUGGCGUUAUUAAAGAGUGUUGAAAUUAGCCAUGAUAUCUAGGGAAGUCGUUGAGUAUGUGAGCUGUUUUGCACAUUUGCAGUCCGAUGCUAAUUUAAAGACCGAGGUGAAGUCAGAUGUUGAGGAGGAGUGGAUGAAACUUUUUCCAGUAGAGCUAGUUAAGGUAUGCGAGAACGUCCUCAAGGAGUUGUUUUGGUGAGAUUCCAAGAUAUGAAGGAUGCUCACAAGUGUAUAGGGCUAACGAAUGGAAGAUGGCAAGUGCAUGCCAGAAUAGAUGAUGGAUCCAUUAAUCAUGUUGCUAUCCUGGAUGUUGUGUAUGACGAAGCUCGAUUAGGUUGGAGAUCAGGUGCAAGUUUUGUUAAUUGGAUGAUGCUCUGCUGCAACAAGUUUGGAGCAAAAAGGUUGGAGAAUAAGGCACACAUUAGGUUUCAAUUACUAUGAUAUAAUGGUGUUAAGAAUUUGAAAAGGAUUUGAUAUCAUGAAUCUACAAAUCAUCAUGGAACUUGGACUCUAGAGGAAAGUUAGAUGGAAUGAAUUGAGCAUGCUACGUCAGAUUUUUCUUGUUUUAGCUUAUUGAUUUGGAUAAGUUAGCUGAAGCAGCAGUAGCCAGCCGAGGAAAUAACAAUCCCUGGUAAGUACUUCACUUGGUUAUAUUUGUACUAUAAAGUUUAAAUUUGUGGAUUUUGACCUUCAAUUUAUACUUGCGAGGUAUUAUGCUGGUGGGAAGUGAACUACAGAUGGGGAGAGAAAGCCGAGCUUCAGAGAUUCAAAGAUGACAAAACUGCAGAAAGCACAGGUAUGGAAUGUCAGCACCGGGAAAGGAACCUCAUUGCCAAAUUGUUGUUGUGUGAUCUACUGUUCUUUUGUAGGUUCUGACUGAAGGUGAGCAAAGAGCCUGGAAGAUGCACUUAUUACACAUAACAUACUAUUAAACUGAAGCUUGCAGGUUAACAAGCGCGACUCCUUUAUGGCACCAAGGUGAUGCAAAAUCUUCCCAUAGAGCACCAAACAUUGUUGUUUAGUGCAACUAUGCCUGUAGAAAUUGAAGCCCUUGCACAGGACUACCUAACUGAUCUAGUGCAAGUAAAUGUUGGAAAAGUAAGUAGCCCUACAACAAGUAAAUGUGUAUCAAAUGCUGCAGAAGGUUCUUGAGAAUGAGAAGGUAGCCCUACAGCCGCACUGUUGUGUAUAUGCUUAUGAUUCAAAGAGUGAAAUGACGACAACUCUUUAUGGAUUGGAGUUAUAAACUUAAAGCAAGGGAUGAAGGGGCUGAUUUGUCAUCUGGGAUUGUUAAUUGGAUGAUUCUCUGCUGCAACAAGUUUGGAGCAAAAAGGUUGGAGAACAAGGCAGACAUUAGGUUGGAGUAAGUUUCUAUGUACAUUCUAAGUUAGAUGAAUUUGUGAACAUAGGAAUUUCUACGAACUGAUACUUAGUGUAUAUCCGUUAGUAUUUGAUACUUAACAAAUAAAAUUUGUA